CAGUAGCCGCGGUAAUACGAAGGGUGCAGGCGUUAAUCGGAAUUACUGGGCGUAAAGCGUGCGUAGGCGGUGAGUUAAGUCUGCUGUGAAAUCCCCGGGCUCAACCUGGGAAUGGCAGUGGAUACUGGCUCGCUAGAGUGUGUCAGAGGAUGGUGGAAUUCCCGGUGUAGCGGUGGAAUGCGUAGAGAUCGGGAGGAACAUCAGUGGCGAAGGCGGCCAUCUGGGACAACACUGACGCUGAGGCACGAAAGCGUGGGGAGCAAACAGGAUUAGAUACCCCGUAGUCCCUGUCUCUUAUACC
rnacentral:rRNA from 1 species